rnacentral:tRNA from 1 species
GUUAAAAAAGCUAAAGUGGUCUAGCAAAGAGUCUAAAAUUCUUGGGACCGGGGUUCAAUUCUCCGUUUUAACU